AAGGGCUUUGAAAUGCUUUGGACGUAAUAAGACUUCGAGGCGCUCCAUCUCUGAAGAUGGGAGAAACAACAUUAGGACAUGUCCUGAUCUGCUGAAGCACUCCCCCCUGCUGGCUGACCAUAGGACAAUACUGACAACAACCUCAGAGAAAUCCCAGAGCGGGAUCUGCACUCCUCUGGGGACUGUGACAAUCUUCAGAUGAAUUAUAUCUAUCUUGUAUUAUGAAACUUUCUGUUAUGAGGCUGUCUGGAUAUCCUAGAGGGGCGAGAUCACACACACACACACACACAUACACAAUCACUAUUGUAAGGCUCUUCUAUAUGACUUUGUCCCAAUAAUAAUAAUCCUUGUAUUUGAUAUUACACCUAUAAUGCUCAGAACAUCUCAGACACUAUAUUUGAUGUUUUGUUAUGGAGCUAAAAUGUGAAUCUCAAUAAACUCACAAGUUUCAUUCAA